CAGUCGCCACGGGAAUACGGAGGGAGCUAGCGUUGUUCGGAAUUACUGGGCGUAAAGCGUGCGUAGGUGGUGGUUUAAGUCCGUUGUGAAAGCCCUGGGCUCAACCUGGGAAUUGCAGUGGAUACUGGGUCACUAGAGUGUGGUAGAGGAUAGUGGAAUUUCCGGUGUAGCAGUGAAAUGCGUAGAGAUCGGAAGGAACAUCUGUGGCGAAGGCGACUAUCUGGGCCAACACUGACACUGAGGCACGAAAGCGUGGGGAGCAAACAGGAUUAGAUACCCCCGUAGUCCCUGUCUCUUAUAC
rnacentral:rRNA from 1 species